UUGCCUCGAAGGUUAAGUGCCUCUGGUGUUCCAAUAUUCUCAAGCAUACCGUCGACAAGUGUGUCUACUCGACUAACAAAGAAAGAAGCAACACUAGUAACCCUGGAUAGGUCAUCAAGACCUGAAGCCUCUAAUCCAUCUAAAUAAGCAUCAAUAACUGCCUCGUAUCUAGAUAGAGAAAAUAUGAGCUUUACAUUAACACUUAUUCCCAAAGAAAUUACUUCUUUAACCGAAGGAACACAAGCUGCAGUUGCAGGGAUUUUAAUGUAAACAUUUGGGCGAUCAACCACUUUAUGCAACCAUUUUGCAG
rnacentral:lncRNA from 1 species